AAUCAACGCUGGCGGCGUGCCUCAGACAUGCAAGUCGAACGAUUAAACUUUCCUUCGGGAAAGAUAUAAAGUGGCGCACGGGUGAGUAACACGUAGGUAAUCUACCUUUGAGUGGGGAAUAACGUUCGGAAACGAACGCUAAUACCGCAUAAUGCAGCGGCACCGCAAGGUGACAGUUGUUAAAGGAGCAAUUCGCUUAAAGAGGAGCCUGCGGCAGAUUAGCUAGUUGGAAGGUAAUGGCUUACCAAGGCUACGAUCUGUAACCGACCUGAGAGGGUGGUCGGUCACACUGACACUGAAUAACGGGUCAGACUCCUACGGGAGGCAGCAGUCGGGAAUUUUGGGCAAUGGGCGAAAGCCUGACCCAGCAACGCCGCGUGAAGGAUGAAGUCUCUCGGGAUGUAAACUUCGUAAGAAUAGGAAGAAUAAAU
rnacentral:rRNA from 1 species